rnacentral:rRNA from 1 species
GAUGAACGCUGGCGGCGUGCCUAAUACAUGCAAGUCGAGCGAACGGACGAGAAGCUUGCUUCUCUGAUGUUAGUGGCGGACGGGUGAGUAACACGUGGAUAACCUACCUAUAAGACUGGGAUAACUUCGGGAAACCGGAGCUAAUACCGGAUAAUAUUUUGAACCGCAUGGUUCAAAAGUGAAAGACGAUCUUGCUGUCACUUAUAGAUGGAUCCGCGCUGCAUUAGCUAGUUGGUAAGGUAACGGCUUACCAAGGCAACGAUGCAUAGCCGACCUGAGAGGGUGAUCGGCCACACUGGAACUGAGACACGGUCCAGACUCCUACGGGAGGCAGCAGUAGGGAAUCUUCCGCAAUGGGCGAAAGCCUGACGGAGCAACGCCGCGUGAGUGAUGAAGGUCUUCGGAUCGUAAAACUCUGUUAUUAGGGAAGAACAUAUGUGUAAGUAACUGUGCACAUCUUGACGGUACCUAAUCAGAAAGCCACGGCUAACUACGUGCCAGCAGCCGCGGUAAUACGUAGGUGGCAAGCGUUAUCCGGAAUUAUUGGGCGUAAAGCGCGCGUAGGCGGUUUUUUAAGUCUGAUGUGAAAGCCCACGGCUCAACCGUGGAGGGUCAUUGGAAACUGGAAAACUUGAGUGCAGAAGAGGAAAGUGGAAUUCCAUGUGUAGCGGUGAAAUGCGCAGAGAUAUGGAGGAACACCAGUGGCGAAGGCGACUUUCUGGUCUGUAACUGACGCUGAUGUGCGAAAGCGUGGGGAUCAAACAGGAUUAGAUACCCUGGUAGUCCACGCCGUAAACGAUGAGUGCUAAGUGUUAGGGGGUUUCCGCCCCUUAGUGCUGCAGCUAACGCAUUAAGCACUCCGCCUGGGGAGUACGACCGCAAGGUUGAAACUCAAAGGAAUUGACGGGGACCCGCACAAGCGGUGGAGCAUGUGGUUUAAUUCGAAGCAACGCGAAGAACCUUACCAAAUCUUGGCAUCCUUUGACAACUCUAGAGAUAGAGCCUUCCCCUUCGGGGGACAAAGUGACAGGUGGUGCAUGGUUGUCGUCAGCUCGUGUCGUGAGAUGUUGGGUUAAGUCCCGCAACGAGCGCAACCCUUAAGCUUAGUUGCCAUCAUUAAGUUGGGCACUCUAAGUUGACUGCCGGUGACAAACCGGAGGAAGGUGGGGAUGACGUCAAAUCAUCAUGCCCCUUAUGAUUUGGGCUACACACGUGCUACAAUGGACAAUACAAAGGGCAGCGAAACCGCGAGGUCAAGCAAAUCCCAUAAAGUUGUUCUCAGUUCGGAUUGUAGUCUGCAACUCGACUACAUGAAGCUGGAAUCGCUAGUAAUCGUAGAUCAGCAUGCUACGGUGAAUACGUUCCCGGGUCU